rnacentral:ribozyme from 13 species
AAAAAAAAGAAAAAGAAGAAAAAAAACAUAGACAAAAAGAAAAAGAAAAAGAAGGAUUUGGGAGCAAAUUUGUGAGCGAUGUUUCGCCAAUGGGAAUUUGUCGUCUUGUCGAUUGGUUGGAACAUGUCAUUUGUGUACAUAUGUUGCGUGAUUUUGAGGCCAAGAGGAUGAAACAGUUGAAGAAGAGGAGGAAUGAGUUUCAGAAAGAAUUACUUUCUUUAAAAGAAAAAGUGGUUGAUUUAAUUCGAACAACAUU